rnacentral:rRNA from 1 species
GUAGUCAUAUGCUUGUCUUUAAGAUUAUGCCAUGCAAGUCUAAGUUCAUGCAGUAAUACGGGGAAAUCUAGAAAUAAUCAUUAAAUCAGUUACGGUUCCUAAUAUGUCUUUUAUUCAGUUAUUAACUCGGAAAAUCUAGAGUACAUGGAAAACAAAAGCUCUGACGUUAACGGACGGACAUCCUAGCUUAGGCCAAGAGCAAUGGAGCGAAACAAGGUGGUACCCUCCUUUUGGGACUCUGGUUAUCUUUUUUAAAUGGCAGGCCUAUGAGCCGGCGAGAUCAAUCAAAUGUCUGCCUAUCAACGUCGAGGUGGAAAGGGACGCCAACGGGUAACGGGGAAU